UAGAGAGAGGGAGAAAGAAAGAGAGAGAAUCCCUCGGCAGGACUCGAACCCACCAAACCGUGAGAUCAUGAGCCGAAACCAAGAGUCAGAUGCUUAGCCACACCAUUUCUAAGCAUUUUCAUAGCACUGCCUAAUUUCAGGGGUAGAGAGAGUGUGCUCAGCCCUAGCCCCAUGAUUUUGGCUCGUAGGGUCCUUGUUCACACGCAUCACUGAUUCAUUGUUUAUUUUUUUUAUUGAUGUUCUACCAAUAGCAGAAGGAGGCACAUGGAGAAUAGUGGCCUUGCCUCAUUCAGUUGAACUUCAUUUUUCUAAUUCACAUUUGAAGUACUGUCUGAGUGGAGACCUCUGUGCAGCCUCUAUCUCCAUUUCCCACUGAAAUAUGUAAGUCACAGAAAAUAAGAACUCCCUCAAGUACCCCAAGCAGAAACAUGAAGAAACAGAAUCUGGAAGAAAUUUCCACUAUCAGAAAGGCUGUUGGAAUUAAGAUAAACUAAACAGUAGCCUAGCCACGCUUACUUUUAUGAAAUGAAGAAGCCCUACCCCCAUGAAAAAAAGAUAGGAACACAUCAUUCCUCCUUAUUUGCAUGUCCCCCUGGCUCAGACUCAGGGCCUGGGUAGAGCAUGAAAAGGACUAGAGUACUGUCUUCUACAUGGAAUAAUUUAAAGGUGACCAGAGUCCUAGCCUUAAUUGUCCCUAACAUAAUUAUACUGGCAUAAGCAUCCUAGGACUUCGAGGAAAUAACAAAGGCAGAAAUGUGAAGUGGAAGGAAUGUGGGACACGUGUGUACGUGUUGAGGGAGGUUGGGACAGGGACAGAGACUGGUGACAGUUCAGUGCCUUCUGGGAGGUGUCGCCUUUGGACACGAAGCAUGAUGGGUGGAGACUGGUAGACAUACAUAAGGAGAGAAUGUUCAGAAAUACCGUACCGAUUCAGAGUUGCAGAGACCCGGGCAACUGAGGAGGAGACCCAACUUGGUACAGGAGAGCUCCAUUAGGAAUUGGGUGGGAUUUCUUACACCUCAAACUGCUGCUCUUAUUGGAGAUCGGAAUGGGGGACUGGCCUCCCUGCAAGGACAGUUGAGCCAAAGCCACAUACCUCCUCCGCUGAAGGCAACUGGGGAACCCACCUGUGUGCUCGGGAUAUGGGUAAGUGCGUGUCUAUUUCCUGAGCGCCUUAAGAUCAGGAAACUGGCUGGUUGUAGCUCAGGUAGGCACUUGGUAUCUGGUAAAGAAACAGGAGAAGGCUCUGGAUCUGGAGAUAGAGGAUGAGUAAAGAGGAUAAAAAUUACACGUAUGUGCGUCAGAAGUGUAGAGAGAACGAUACGAAAAGCGCACAGAAGUACAAUAGGGAGCAACCACCAUCUGAGGGAUUCAGAGGUACAGCCGGUGUCUGUGUGCUGCACGCUGAAGUCAUGGCAAAAAAGCUCACAAAAGACUAAGAAGAACAAAGUAUAUUGGCGAAUGACACAGAAUCCCCAAUGACAACUAGUGUGAAGAAAGUUUAUGUAGUAAAUAACCCAGCAUAAAAAUACAUAAAGCAAAACCAUUGAAAAUACGAAGAGAAAUUGGGAGAAACGGGAUUGUUGUUGUUAUAAGACACUUAAAUGCACAUCUUUCAGCCUAUGAUCAAAUAGGCAGAACCAAAUAAUACCAUGGAAGGAUGUUGACGAUCAUAGAGCGGUAUAAACAGAUGUACAUCUAACCUCCUAUCCUUCAGGGAAUUAACCUGGGAAUUAACUAAUUAAUUAAUCAACCAGGGGAUUAAUUCUUUUCAGGAGCCCAUACAAAAACGUGUGAUAUAGUAAAUCACAUAGAAAAUCUCAGUACAUCUCUCAUGGAAGUUCGUACAUUUUUAAACAAUAAUCACCAGGAGAGGGUAGAAAAAGAAAAACUAAAACUCUAUAAAACAAGACAGAAAGAACAAAAGCUAACCAUGGGAAAAUCAGCCUGUUUACGAAAACAGAAAUAGGAAGUAACACAAAUGUAUCAGCUCCCUGGCCCGCUGCCUUAUUAGUAACAUCGGCAUGAACACACGCCCGCGUGUAUAGACACAGAGUCAACUCACUACUAGUCAUAGUGGUAGCGGGGCCGGGGCCAAUUCUAGGUAUCAAAACUCAUAACUAACAAAGCAAGAUUUAACUUGUACUGGGAAAGUUUCCUUCCACUACAAAUACGCCCCGACCAGGUGUCAUGUCAUCUGAAAUUCUACCAUUAGAAACUCACUCUAAUACAUUAAGCAAUGUGCUUUCUAGGAUCGUCUUUCAGAGAGGAGGUACUGAAUGUAGUCAUUAACACCCCAGCAGGAGUUUCAGGUAUUAUAAAGUGUACUUUUUCCACGUUCGGGCCCCAGGGAGGAGUGAAGUUUCUGCUGGUGUCAGUGGAAGGAACCGCGUGUCAUUUCCCUGAUGGUUUUUCCCGGUUGAUUGUAGGCCAACUAUCUGAGUGAAAUGUUUGCAAGAGCGAACCGGUUAUGAUCAAGAACAAAUAAUAUAUAUCAGAUCUCCAAUAUUUAUUUGUUUUCCUGUGAUUUAUCAUUCAAGUGUGAUACAGAAAAAUGUAGUUCAACAAAAAUUUGAUUAAUUCGAAUACGUUUAUAGUUUUACAUAUCCAUACAUUUAUAUAUAAUCUAGUACAUUUCUGUAUUACUGUAUCUUAUUCAUUAUGUGUAUAUUGAGAGCUGACUUUGAGCUGUGCUAAGUAGCUGUACUUGGAGUUCUUAAUCUUGGGAUCUAAAAAUGGUUACGGAGGGUGGGAGGGGGCUUGUCCUUUCUUUACCAUUGAAAAUUGCAAAGAAUUACAUGGUACAGAAACAAAAAUACCUUACAUUUGAUAUCACUUCCAUAUGUGUGAGUUCAAAAUUCUCACACACACAUUGUCAUAGCCUGCUGGGUAGCAGCUGAACUCAGGAUUUUUACAUAUUAGAAUGUUAAUUUUAUUAGGGCUAAUUGAAAUUAUUUCCUGGAUUCCCCCCACCCCUCCCAGGCUAAGUGAGACGAAGGAAGCUUAGAUUUGCUGAUUUGCUUUUCAGUACUGUUGGGGAAAUGUCAUUUGCUCACUCUGUUAUAUUCUCAGAGUGUUAGGUAGUUUGGCUAAGUCAAUGUUGAACUUAGGUCAUGUGAGUUUUAUUCCUUGGUCUACUACUAAUUCACAUGGUAAGAGACUGUAAGUUAUUGAACUGCCAUGCCUUGGUAUGUGCUGUUAUGAAAUUAAGAUAAGAUUGCAAAAACCAUUGGCCGUGGUACGUGUAAUUCAAAUGACCGAUCUCUAUUAGUGUAAUGGGUUCUCUGGGGCACAAGUGCUUAGUUUAGAGACCACUCCCUGAAGUUCUCUGCAAAAGCUUGUGUGCAUAUAUGUGCUUUCUUGGGAGAGAGUUCUUAAAUUUCCUCAGGGUUCAGGAGAGCCUGUAUGCCUUGGAACCUUGGGGCAGCUGUU